rnacentral:rRNA from 1 species
CCCCCCUCCACUAAAUAGGGGACGAGACUCCGCCGGGCUAGACAGAAUUCACCCCUACCCGCUGAGCUGAAGCAUAUCAAUAAGCGGAGGAUAAGAAACUAACAAGGAUUCCCCCUAGUAACUGCGAGUGAAGCGGGAAAAGCUCAAAUUUAAAAUCUGGCGGUCUCGCGGCCGUCCGAGUUGUAAUCUGGAGAAGCGUUUAUCCGCGUCGGACCGUGUACAAGUCUUCUGGAAGGGAGCGUCAUAGAGGGUGAGAAUCCCGUCUUUGACACGGACAACCGAUGCUUUUGUGAUGCGCUCUCGAAGAGUCGAGUUGUUUGGGAAUGCAGCUCAAAAUGGGUGGUAAAUUCCAUCUAAAGCUAAAUAUUGGCGAGAGACCGAUAGCGAACAAGUACCGUGAGGGAAAGAUGAAAAGCACUUUGGAAAGAGAGUUAAACAGUACGUGAAAUUGUUGAAAGGGAAACGUUUGAAGUCAGUCGCGUCGGCCGAGACUCAACCUUGCUUUCGCUAGGUGCACUUCUCGGUUGACGGGUCAGCAUCAAUUUCGACCGCCGGAUAAAGGUCGGGGGAAUGUGGCAUCCUUCGGGAUGUGUUAUAGACCUCGAUUCGGAUACGGCGAUUGGGAUUGAGGAACUCGGCGCUCUGCGUCCAGGAUGCUGGCAUAAUGGCUUUAAGCGACCCGUCUUGAAACACGG